rnacentral:rRNA from 1 species
UACAGAGGUCUCAAGCGUUGUUCGGAUUCAUUGGGCGUAAAGGGUGCGUAGGCGGCGCGGUAAGUCGGGUGUGAAAUCUCGGAGCUUAACUCCGAAACUGCAUUCGAUACUGCCGUGCUUGAGGACUGGAGAGGAGACUGGAAUUUACGGUGUAGCGGUGAAAUGCGUAGAGAAUCGGAAAGAACACCAACGGCGAAAGCACUCUGCUGGGCCGACACUGACACUGAGAGACGAAAGCUAGGGGAGCGAAUGGG